UUCGACACACUAUCAUUAACUGAAUCCAUAGGUUAAUGAGGCGAACCGGGGGAACUGAAACAUCUAAGUACCCCGAGGAAAAGAAAUCAACCGAGAUUCCCCCAGUAGCGGCGAGCGAACGGGGAGCAGCCCAGAGCCUGAAUCAGUAUGUGUGUUAGUGGAAGCGUCUGGAAAGGCGCGCGAUACAGGGUGACAGCCCCGUACACAAAAAUGCACAUGCUGUGAGCUCGAUGAGUAGGGCGGGACACGUGGUAUCCUGUCUGAAUAUGGGGGGACCAUCCUCCAAGGCUAAAUACUCCUGACUGACCGAUAGUGAACCAGUACCGUGAGGGAAAGGCGAAAAGAACCCCGGCGAGGGGAGUGAAAAAGAACCUGAAACCGUGUACGUACAAGCAGUGGGAGCACGCUUAGGCGUGUGACUGCGUACCUUUUGUAUAAUGGGUCAGCGACUUAUAUUCUGUAGCAAGGUUAACCGAAUAGGGGAGCCGAAGGGAAACCGAGUCUUAACUGGGCGUUAAGUUGCAGGGUAUAGACCCGAAACCCGGUGAUCUAGCCAUGGGCAGGUUGAAGGUUGGGUAACACUAACUGGAGGACCGAACCGACUAAUGUUGAAAAAUUAGCGGAUGACUUGUGGCUGGGGGUGAAAGGCCAAUCAAACCGGGAGAUAGCUGGUUCUCCCCGAAAGCUAUUUAGGUAGCGCCUCGUGAAUUCAUCUCCGGGGGUAGAGCACUGUUUCGGCAAGGGGGUCAUCCCGACUUACCAACCCGAUGCAAACUGCGAAUACCGGAGAAUGUUAUCACGGGAGACACACGGCGGGUGCUAACGUCCGUCGUGAAGAGGGAAACAACCCAGACCGCCAGCUAAGGUCCCAAAGUCAUGGUUAAGUGGGAAACGAUGUGGGAAGGCCCAGACAGCCAGGAUGUUGGCUUAGAAGCAGCCAUCAUUUAAAGAAAGCGUAAUAGCUCACUGGUCGAGUCGGCCUGCGCGGAAGAUGUAACGGGGCUAAACCAUGCACCGAAGCUGCGGCAGCGACGCUGAUGCGUUGUUGGGUAGGGGAGCGUUCUGUAAGCCUGCGAAGGUGUGCUGUGAGGCAUGCUGGAGGUAUCAGAAGUGCGAAUGCUGACAUAAGUAACGAUAAAGCGGGUGAAAAGCCCGCUCGCCGGAAGACCAAGGGUUCCUGUCCAACGUUAAUCGGGGCAGGGUGAGUCGACCCCUAAGGCGAGGCCGAAAGGCGUAGUCGAUGGGAAACAGGUUAAUAUUCCUGUACUUGGUGUUACUGCGAAGGGGGGACGGAGAAGGCUAUGUUGGCCGGGCGACGGUUGUCCCGGUUUAAGCGUGUAGGCUGGUUUUCCAGGCAAAUCCGGAAAAUCAAGGCUGAGGCGUGAUGACGAGGCACUACGGUGCUGAAGCAACAAAUGCCCUGCUUCCAGGAAAAGCCUCUAAGCAUCAGGUAACAUCAAAUCGUACCCCAAACCGACACAGGUGGUCAGGUAGAGAAUACCAAGGCGCUUGAGAGAACUCGGGUGAAGGAACUAGGCAAAAUGGUGCCGUAACUUCGGGAGAAGGCACGCUGAUAUGUAGGUGAAGUCCCUCGCGGAUGGAGCUGAAAUCAGUCGAAGAUACCAGCUGGCUGCAACUGUUUAUUAAAAACACAGCACUGUGCAAACACGAAAGUGGACGUAUACGGUGUGACGCCUGCCCGGUGCCGGAAGGUUAAUUGAUGGGGUUAGCGCAAGCGAAGCUCUUGAUCGAAGCCCCGGUAAACGGCGGCCGUAACUAUAACGGUCCUAAGGUAGCGAAAUUCCUUGUCGGGUAAGUUCCGACCUGCACGAAUGGCGUAAUGAUGGCCAGGCUGUCUCCACCCGAGACUCAGUGAAAUUGAACUCGCUGUGAAGAUGCAGUGUACCCGCGGCAAGACGGAAAGACCCCGUGAACCUUUACUAUAGCUUGACACUGAACAUUGAGCCUUGAUGUGUAGGAUAGGUGGGAGGCUUUGAAGUGUGGACGCCAGUCUGCAUGGAGCCGACCUUGAAAUACCACCCUUUAAUGUUUGAUGUUCUAACGUUGACCCGUAAUCCGGGUUGCGGACAGUGUCUGGUGGGUAGUUUGACUGGGGCGGUCUCCUCCUAAAGAGUAACGGAGGAGCACGAAGGUUGGCUAAUCCUGGUCGGACAUCAGGAGGUUAGUGCAAUGGCAUAAGCCAGCUUGACUGCGAGCGUGACGGCGCGAGCAGGUGCGAAAGCAGGUCAUAGUGAUCCGGUGGUUCUGAAUGGAAGGGCCAUCGCUCAACGGAUAAAAGGUACUCCGGGGAUAACAGGCUGAUACCGCCCAAGAGUUCAUAUCGACGGCGGUGUUUGGCACCUCGAUGUCGGCUCAUCACAUCCUGGGGCUGAAGUAGGUCCCAAGGGUAUGGCUGUUCGCCAUUUAAAGUGGUACGCGAGCUGGGUUUAGAACGUCGUGAGACAGUUCGGUCCCUAUCUGCCGUGGGCGCUGGAGAACUGAGGGGGGCUGCUCCUAGUACGAGAGGACCGGAGUGGACGCAUCACUGGUGUUCGGGUUGUCAUGCCAAUGGCACUGCCCGGUAGCUAAAUGCGGAAGAGAUAAGUGCUGAAAGCAUCUAAGCACGAAACUUGCCCCGAGAUGAGUUCUCCCUGACUCCUUGAGAGUCCUGAAGGAACGUUGAAGACGACGACGUUGAUAGGCCGGGUGUGUAAGCGCAGCGAUGCGUUGAGCUAACCGGUACUAAUGAACCGUGAGGCUUAACCUUACAACGCCGAAGCUGUU
rnacentral:rRNA from 1 species